UACGGGGGGAGCAAGCGUUGUUCGGAUUUACUGGGCGUAAAGGGCGCGUAGGCGGCACGGCAAGUCAGGAGUGAAAGCCCUGGGCUCAACCCGGGAACUGCUUUUGAAACUGCCGAGCUAGAGUGCGGAAGGGGCAACUGGAAUUCCCAGUGUAGCGGUGAAAUGCGUAGAUAUUGGGAAGAACACCUGAGGCGAAGGCGGGUUGCUGGGCCGACACUGACGCUGAUGCGCGAAAGCCAGGGGAGCGAACGGG
rnacentral:rRNA from 1 species